rnacentral:lncRNA from 1 species
CGAAGUAGGCAGGAUAUGGAUUGAAGGGAUUCUUUAUGCCAGAGAUGGCCAGGUAAACAUUUUGUGUGUUUGCCACGGCCUUUUACAGUCCCCGGCUGGAUUUUUUAAAGCAUGCCGAUGGAAACAAAGUGACGAAUCCCUUGCAGCAUAUAAUUGUCUGCUCUUCUUCCGAUUAGAUCAAUGGCAUUGGCUCUUUCGCCUUGGAAUGUUAACAUACAGUUAACUAAUUUGUAAACACCCUAAUUUGAGAAAUUAGCUCUCAUUUUAUGGUUAUUUUGUAUAUUAUCUUAUGUAGUUCUCUCCGAUUAAUUUUGGAUGUUUGGAUGGCUUUAAGGUGAUGUCAAAGCUUUUGUAUUUGAACAUAUACAUAAACUGUCGGUUAGUAUAGGUACCAUAAAGCACACUUGUUGGUUUUGCUCCACAUCAAGCCUUUGUCAUUGGUUGUCCUUGAACUACACCGAGAUUUAGCAUAGAGAUUAAUUAUAAUGUAAGACUACAAAGGUAUCAUCUAAAAAUAUUCUGUAAUCGUAAAGAUCACCAUAAAAUUAUUGCUACUAUGUCAUUGAGUGUGUAAUAUUUGUUCCCUAAAAAAAUGAAGAACAAUUUGUUCCCUAAAUUAUUACCAACAUCACGUGGGCGCUUGAGCGGACAUGAAAUUUAGUACGUGUGUCGUAAAUUGUUUCAGUUAUAUUUUACUUUACGUAACUACCUUCUCUGUAUGUUCACAUGAAACAAGUCAAAGAUAUUUGAAUUUCGUAACUACUAUUUAUGUGUGUUUUUUCUACCAUUUCACGUGAAAUUGGUGAACGUUUUGUCUAUGGUUAAACCAAUAUAACCACCAUAAUAGGAACUGACAAGAAAAUUAAUAUUGAAUUUGACCUAUUUUAUCCCUUUUUACAAUAGACAACCUUUAAUAAAAUCAGGUUAAAUAGUAACUUCCUAUUUAAAAUAACAAAUACCACGCAUGUCUUCAAUUUUUAAAGAGUAAAAUAUAGAAUUGGUACCUUGAACUUUCACCUAAGUUUAGAUUUUAACUCUUAUCUCUUUAUUGGUUUUAUCGCUUAACUUUGUUUUCAUUAAAUAUGUCUAUGUAUUAGUUAUUUAAAAAAAAAUUUGAAAUAAUCGGUCAUGUAAAACAACAUAACAAAAAAUACAUGUAUUAUAAGUUGUUUCAAUGAGCUUUUGAUUUUUAUAAAUAUUAUUGUAACGACUCUGUAAUUUCAUGCAUGCUUUCAAAUGUUCACAUGAAACCAGUAAAUUAUUUGUCUAUAGUUAAACAGAGGGUGAUUUAUUAGCACCCUAAUUUUGGUUAAGAGCACUCCCAUGUUAAAUUAUUUGCUAACUUCCAAAAUUGCUCAAAAAUUUUAAGCAUAAAAACAAUAUUGCUUCUGGUUGGUUGGUUCUUUAUUCAAGUCUCUGCCGGCAAAGGGUUUUCAAUUCUUUUGUCUAAGAGGUCAGUUCAUUAGCUCUUCAGCGAAGUGAGGUAUUUUAUGAUUGAUUACUCCCAAGUGCACUUCAUAGUUCGGCACUCAAACGCCCGUACCACGUGCACGAUAAAGACACUCAUCUUUUUCAAAUCGGUGCACUUAUAUUCUAACAAAUAUAGUUAAAGUUGCUGAACCUGAUGCAGAAGAUCCUGAAAUUCGCAUUGAAUAUAGCAACCUUGUCUGAACUUCAUAGUCGCUAAGUGCAAAAGUCAAUAGCGCAUACGAUACCACCACCACCACAUCUAUUCUACUCGCCAAACUUAGCUCGCUCGUGAGUUGGGCAUUAACAAGAAGGACGUAGUUACCUCAGUAGUUACUCGGCUUAUGCAUAUGCACCACGUAGGUCUUGUCAUUUUUAGGACAAACACAAAUCAAUUUGUUUCAUCUGUCUACUUUCCAUCCAUUUUAGCGUUAAAAGUGUAAUUCUUCAUUUUGGUGUUGAAGUUAAAAAUCAAUCAAUCUUGUCCUAAAAAUUGGUUAACACAAAUUAAUUUGGUCCAUCCGUCUACUUUUCGUCUAUUUUAGCGUUAAAAGUGGUGACAUGAGAUUGAUUGAAACAAAUCAAUUUGGUCAAUCCGUAUAUUUUUCAUCCAUUCUACUGUUAAAAGUGGUCACGUCGACCACAUGACCUUUUUUUAGGGGUAAAACUUAAAAAAAACAAAAACAAAAACAAAAAAAAACAAAACAAAAGCCAAUGAAAGAAAUCUUCACCCUGCCCAACCCAGUCACCGUCAGCCGUCCUCCCUCCGAUAGUCCAUCAUUUUAUUUUGUCUAUUUGCCUUUACCUUUCUUGAUCCUACACUAAAUCAAGAUCUCCUGCACCAAAUCAACGAGAAUUGAAGUUGAAGAGAAUGGGUAUAAAGAUCUUCGCCCCUACAACCACGAUGACCCUAAUCUUCACUGUGUUUCUCCUCAUACACUGAUUUUACCUCCUAAACGUCGUCCUAACAAUUUCCACAUUGAAUGCUUUUUUUCAGCUUUUAAGUUUUCUUUUUUCUUUUUUGCCCUUCAAUUUGUCAAGGUAUUAUGUCUGAAUCGUUGUGGAUUUAUAUUUGUGGUGAUCCUAAAAAUAAUUUGUUUCCCCUUAACCAGUUGGUGCAAGAAAGAGAGAUGGAUUUUUCCUACGUAAAGAUGGAGGUAGGGCUGGGCAAAUGGUCCUGGACCCACGGGUCAGGGCGGGUAAUUACAAUUUGGGACAGGUACAGGGUGGGUACUUAUAUUAUAAAUUCAAAACGGGGCAGGGCGGGACAGGUUUGUUUAAUUAGUGGGCCGGGGCAGGGACAAAUUUCAGAGAAAAACGAGCCCCCAGGUCGAACAUUUUCCACCGUUCAUUAUAGGGAGAUUAAAUCUCCAUCAUUUAUUUCUUAGGUUAUGUAGAAUUCUCCAGAGUCCUAAAUCCUGACUUCGAUCACAACGGCUUCCAAAUCCUGACUCCUCUCGACCUCAAUCUCGAAUUCUCCCAGCUCCGUCCGUUCAUUAACUGGUCGGCGUUCUUCUUCGUUUUAGCAACCAUUUCCAGCCUCCAGAUUUCGAUGUGAGCUACGCUGUCUAGCCAUAGUGAGCAACACUGUUAAGUGUUUGAUUGCGGUAGGUGGAGAGGAAGUUGAGCAUAAGAGACAUGAGUUUGGCCUUGGAAAGGAUCUUGAAGAUGGCGUUAAAGGUGGCGCGGGUGUGGUGGAAGCCAGGCUGGCGGCCGGCCCAAUCGAAGAACUUGAGGCAUGAGAGGAUAUAAUGGUUGUUGUUGCCGUAACGGAGGACCUUGAGGACGAAGGCCUCCGUGAGGUUGAGACUGAGAUGGGAGAGAGCCAAGUUGACGGAGGAGUAAAGGAUAUUAUACUGCAAAGGGAUGUCGCUAUCACUGUGUUGAGGCAGCGGUCGGUGGUGGUGGCGGCGUCGCUGUCGGUAGAGGAUUUGAGGAUGAGGAAGAUGCGGUCAAAUAAGGCGUCGUUGCGGGUUUGGAACCAUUCAUUGAAAGAGAGGACCACGUCCCUCGCCAGAGUCAUGCGAACCAUGGUUGAGAAAUUGCAGAUUCAAAACCAUGGACGAACAAAUUAAAACUUUUUCAAUAGAUGGCAACUAGAAAUGCAUCAUCACCUCUGAUUUGGAGUGCUAAUCCGCCACCGACGAGUAUGCAGCAUUUGAAGGUUACCUUGCUACCAUAAGACCCGUGGGGACCUGUAGAAACCGUCCGUUUCAAAAGGGCCGGGUUAGGUUCGGUUCUCAUUUUGAAAAAUAAAAAACCUGUCCCGCCUCGCUCUACCCCGUGUUAUUUACAAACGGGGUUCAAUCCGGUUCCUUCAAUUUUGGACCAGGCCCGGCGCGUGCCCACCUCUAGGUGGAGGGUCGAAUUUCAACAAAACAAAAGGUUGGGGCGGAUGACAAAAUAAUAAAGUGGUCAAAUGAUAAGUGGGGUGCUGUGCUUUGACGUUUUAUUCCUAAAAAAUGGUCACAUGGGCCUGCAUGACCACUUUUAACGCAAAAAUGGAUGAAAACUACACAGAAGGAUCAAAUUAAUUUGCUGCAACCAAUUUUAGGGACGAGAUUGAUUGAUUGAUUUUAACUUCAAGGACCCAAAAUAAGGAGUUAUACCAAUCUCAUGGACCAUUUUGAUGAAACCCCUUAAAAAAUAUAAAGAAAUCUUUUCUUCUAGCUAGAUGAUCUUAUCACAUGAACUGAUAAGGUAAUUAAUACGUGGUCAUACAUUGUGUCGAUUAGCUUUUACUUUUAUGUAACCAUCGUCUGCCUUCUUUGUAUAUUCACGUGAAACAAGUGAACACCCAGCAUAGGUUUCAUCGUCCAACUCUCUAUAAGUACCUCCCAACUUUCUUUAUGAAUACAAAAAGUGAUAGAUUUAUUCUUCACAAUUAAUUUUUUUCAUUUGAUCAUGGUUACUAACUUAGAAGCUGAGGGUGGAUUUUUAUAUUUUAGAGGGAGGAGGAAGGGGAGAAAAAGAGAGAGGGAAGUGAAUAGUGCAAUUGAGAUUGAGAGAGACUUGAAAAAAUUAUAUGGAACUUAUUAUUACUUUACUAUAGAAAUGAGUGGCAUGGGAGAAAAUGGACCGAGGAGACGGUGUAAAUGGAAGAAGGUAUAUAUAUAUAUAUAUAUAUAUAUUCAUUACUUGUUUGUUGCUUAAUUUAUUUUUCUUUUCAAUUUUCAUUUAAUUAUCAAAUGAUUAAUUUCUCUUAACAUCUUAUUGAUUGAAUGUAUUGUUUUCAAAAUUCAAUCUCUUCCUUGUCUGUCUCAAAUUCUUUUCCUACUCAUCCUUUGUUCAUAGAAUGUCGGUCUUCUGGUUAUUUUGACCCUUUAGGGUGUUUUGAAUGUUGUAGAAGAAGAUUAGUAUAAAGUAUUUAACUUGCUUUCACGAUAUUUAAAUUUCUUCAAAGAUUUUGACUUGUGAAAAUUCUUUGCAGGAGAAGAAAAUGUUGAGACACUGCCUUCUCAGAUAAGGACAUCAAAACAUGUCUUCCCUUUGGAGCAGGCAGGAUUUAGAUUGAAGGGAUUCUUUAUGCUAGAGAUGGCGAGGUAAACAUUUUGUGUGUUUGCUAUGGCCUUUUACACUCUCCGGCUGGAUUUUUUUGAGCAUGCCGAUGCAAACAAUGUGGCGAAUCCCUUGCAGCACAUAAUUGUCUGCUCUUCUUCCGAUUAGGUCAAUGGCAUUGGCUCCGUUGCCUUGGAAUGUUAAUAUACGGUUAACUAAUAUGUAAACACCCUAAUUGGAGCAAUUAGUUCUCAUUUUAUGGGUUAUUUUGUAUAUUAUCUUAUAUAUAGUCCUCUCCAAUUUAACUGCGGAUGUUUGGAUGGCUUUAAGGUGAUGUCAAAGCUUAUGUAUUUG